rnacentral:tRNA from 1 species
GGGCACAUGGUGUAGUUGGUUAUCACAUCCGCUUAGCAUUUGCGCAUGUUUGCGUCUAUUUACGCUUGUUUAAUAGGCACCUGCGAAGGUGCUGGGUUCGACUCCCAGUGUGUCCA